rnacentral:rRNA from 1 species
AUACGUAGGGUGCGAGCGUUGUCCGGACUUACUGGGUGUAAAGGGUGCGUAGGCGGGAUUGCAAGUCAGAUGUGGAAUGCCGGGGCUCAACCCCGGAGCUGCAUUUGAAACUGUGGUUCUUGAGUGAGGUAGAGGUAAUCGGAAUUCCUAGUGUAGCGGUGAAAAGCGUAGAUAUUAGGAGGAACAUUGGUGGCGAAGGCGGCUUACUGGGCCUUUACUGACGCUGAGGCACGAAAGCGUGGGGAGCAAACAGGAUUAGAUACCCUGGUAGUCCACGCUGUAAACGAUGAUUACUAGGUGUGGGGGGACUGACCCCUUCCGUGCCGCAGUUAACACAAUAAGUAUUCCGCCUGGGGAGUACGGCCGAAAGGUUGAAACUCAAAUGAAUUGGCGGG